GGGGGUGUAGCUCAGUGGUACAGUGUUUGCCUAGCAUGCAUGAGGACCUGGGUUCCAUCCCCAGCACUACAA
rnacentral:tRNA from 1 species